GAAAAAAAAAAAAAGAAUCUUCUUCUUCUCCUUCUCCCAACCGACGCCGCCUCUCCAAGUUUUUUUUUCCCAUUCGUUCUUCUUCUUCCAGUCGAACGAGGAGCCUACUGCAGGUCCCAACCGUGCUUCGGUUUCGUCCGACGUCUGCCAUAGGUCCAGCCGCUCACAGUUGUGCCUCCGUUCGUUCGACAACCGUCGCGCAUCAGGCCGCUUCCUCCCCUUAGGUACAUUCCACUAUAGGUCCCAGCCGCUUGCCCGCGCAGGAUAGCGCCACUCGUCACUCGACUUCCGUCUCCUCCAGUCACACCUUGCCGAGUUCACCAGCCGCCAACCCAAUCCAAGCGUCGUCCGCCAGUCCUGACGUGGACAAUUUCGAUUGUUGCCAGAUCGGGAUUGGUUCCGUCUGACCUUCUAGUUUGGGAAUCUAGUAGUGGUGAAGGAAGCUGCCAGACAAAGUGAAAGUCUGUUGGGGCAGUUCGAUAUCCUUAGGUAAGGUAAGGGUAAAGAUAGACCGGCACAUGACUAGAGAGAUCCGUGACCUGGCCAUUUGGACGAAUUACUACUUCCGCACUUAGGUUUCAUGUACUAGAGUUUGGUUCGUGUAAAGUAUAAUUUUUUAGUGCGAGGUAUAACAGAAUGCAGCACAAAAGUAAACAACAUGAU